rnacentral:rRNA from 1 species
GACGAGCCACACAAACGUUAUUCGGAAUUAUUGGGCGUAAAGCGCACGUAGGCGGCUUUGCAAGUCGGAUGUGAAAUCCCUCGGCUCAACCAAGGAAGUGCAUCCGAAACUGCAGAGCUUGAGUACCAAAGAGGAUCGCGGAAUUCCCGGUGUAGAGGUGAAAUUCGUAGAUAUCGGGAGGAACACCGGUGGCGAAGGCGGCGACCUGGGUAGAUACUGACGCUGAGGUGCGAAAGCGUGGGGAGCAAACAGG